UCGUCUCUGCUACUCGGGGCUUUUCUGCCUGCAGAUGCAAAAUGCUAACUCCGUCCUGAUUACCAUACCCGCUGCUGCAUGCAAUCCUCCUCAAUCCCUGUCACAUCCAAUCCAUCUAAUCAGUGUCCAGGCUCAGCUCCUCAUAUGUCCGUCCAUCACAUCCUGCUGCACCCGUCCUUCACCACCACCACCACCACUGGGGGGCCAGACUCCAUGAGGGGGGCUUUCCUGUCCUGCUCCAGGUCUCACUACCCCUUUAACUACACAAAGAGGUCAUUAUUGGGUCUAAUUGCUUAAGACUUAGAUCUUUCCCCCUUUCUAAACUUCUAAAAUAAAUAAUUGUUCACUCUUAA